AGUACCAGGGAGAAUAACGUUGCUUCAGCAACGGCCCGCAGGGCGAGGCGCAGCCGAGUAAUCCUCCCGGAUGCACCA
rnacentral:sRNA from 1 species